AGCCCUGUGGAUUGGAGAAGGAGA
rnacentral:miRNA from 1 species